rnacentral:rRNA from 1 species
UACAGAGGUGGCAAGCGUUGUUCGGAAUUACUGGGCGUAAAGGCGCGUAGGCGGCCAUCUAAGUCAGACGUGAAAUCCCCCGGCUUAACCUGGGAACUGCGUCUGAUACUGGAAGGCUUGAGUAUGGGAGAGGGAUGUAGAAUUCCAGGUGUAGCGGUGAAAUGCGUAGAUAUCUGGAGGAAUACCGGUGGCGAAGGCGGCAUCCUGGACCAUUACUGACGCUGAGGCGCGAAAGCUAGGGAGCAACGGGG